AGAGUUUGAUCCUGGCUCAGGAUGAACGCUAGCGGCAGGCCUAAUACAUGCAAGUCGAACGGUGUAGCAAUACAUAGUGGCGCACGGGUGCGUAACACGUAUGCAACCUACCUUAUACUGAGGGAUAGCCUUUGGAAACGGAGAUUAAUACCUCAUGGGACAUUGACUUGGCAUCGGGUUAAUGUUAAAGAUUUAUUGGUAUAAGAUGGGCAUGCGUCCAAUUAGUUAGUUGGUGAGGUAACGGCUCACCAAGACGAUGAUUGGUAGGGGAACUGAGAGGUUAAUCCCCCACACUGGCACUGAGAUACGGGCCAGACUCCUACGGGAGGCAGCAGUAGGGAAUAUUGGGCAAUGGAGGCAACUCUGACCCAGCCAUGCCGCGUGCAGGAUGAAGGCGUUAUGCGUUGUAAACUGCUUUUAUAUAGGAAGAAAUAGACCUUGCGAGGUAAGUUGACGGUACUAUAUGAAUAAGCACCGGCUAACUCCGUGCCAGCAGCCGCGGUAAUACGGAGGGUGCAAGCGUUGUCCGGAUUUAUUGGGUUUAAAGGGUGCGUAGGCGGUUUAUUAAGUCAGUGGUGAAAGACGGUCGCUCAACGAUUGCAGUGCCAUUGAUACUGGUAGACUUGAGUGGGAUUGAGGUAGCUG
rnacentral:rRNA from 1 species